rnacentral:tRNA from 1 species
GCCGAAAUAGCUCAGUUGGGAGAGCGUUAGACUGAAGAUCUAAAGGUCCCUGGUUCGAUCCCCUGUUUCGGCA